rnacentral:rRNA from 1 species
CCCUUAGAUGUUCUGGGCCGCACGCGCGCUACACUGACGAUGGCAACGAGUUUUUCCUUCGCCGAAAGGUGUGGGUAAUCUUUUGAAACAUCGUCGUGCUGGGGAUAGAUCAUUGCAAUUUUUGAUCUUGAACGAGGAGUUCCUAGUAAGCGCGAGUCACCAGCUCGCGUUGAUUACGUCCCUGCCCUUUGUACACACCGCCCGUCGCUACUACCGAUUGAAUGGUUUAGUGAGGACUCCUGAUUGGCGCCGCCGCCCCGGCAACGGAGCAGCGGACUGCCGAAAAGUUGUUCAAACUUGAUCAUUUAGAGGAAGUAAAAGUCGUAACA